rnacentral:rRNA from 1 species
ACGGGAGACCGUUCAGCCUUUCGGGCCGGCGUACAGGUGCUGCAUGGCUGUCGUCAGCUCGUGCUGUGAAGUGUUGGGUUAAGUCCCGUAACGAGCGCAACCCUUGUCCUUAGUUACCAGCACGUUAUGGUGGGCACUCUAAGGAGACUGCCGGUGGACAAACCGGAGGAAGGUGGGGAGUGACGUCAAGUCAUCAUGGCCCUUACGGCCUGGGCUACACACGUGCUACAAUGGUCGGUACAAAGGGUUGCCAAGCCGCGAGGUGGAGCUAAUCCCAUAAAACCGAUCGUAGUCCGGAUCGCAGUCUGCAACUCGACUGCGUGAAGUCGGAAUCGCUAGUAAUCGUGAAUCAGAAUGUCACGGUGAAUACGUUCCCGGGCCUU